AUCCAGCCGAGGAGUCACAAAUAGGACGAAACUCGGGUCAAACUGGAU
rfam:Schistosoma margrebowiei strain Zambia genome assembly, scaffold: SMRZ_scaffold0000068